UACUGCAUCAUGUUGGAUGGGUUGUGCAAGACUGGAAAUGUCGAUGAAGCUUUGCAGUUAUUCCAUUCAAUGGAAGUUGAUGGAGUAGAUCUUCAUGUACAAAUGUACGGUAUCAUCCUUAAUGGGUUGUGCAAAAGUAGAAGGCUCGAUAGUGCUCGAGAUCUUUUCAACAGUCUCUGCCUUAAAGGAUUGGAUCCUGAUGUCAGAACAUACACCAUCAUGAUUGCUGGCUUGCUUUCAGAAGGUCUGCUCAUCGAAGCCAAAGAGCUUGUUGAAAAAAUGGAAGAGAAGGGUUGCUUGGCAGAUGGUGCUACAUACAAUGUUAUUCUGCAAGGACUCCUCAAGGGAGGUCAUUAUGACGAUGCAAUGGUCUGUUAUGAAGAAAUGGUUCAUAGAGGAUUCUCACUGGAUGCAUCUACUUUUUCCAUUUUACUUGAUUCAUCUGCUAAAAAUCAGAACAAUCCUUCAUUACUAAUGUUGAUGCUGAAGAUUGAUCCCGAUAGCAAGAAGUUCAUGGAUGGAGGACAAAGAGGACCUUCACAUUAGUUGCAACAUGUUGGUCCUGCUGUUUUUUGGCCUUGAGCAAACAUUAAUUAGGAGAGGGGUGGAAUUUGUAUUGCAGAGUGUGAAGAUUUGACAUCAGCUCAGACUGGAUAGAAACAAUUAAUCAGGGUUUUGAUACUGCAUGCACUAGUUUGCAAUGGCGACAUGUGUUGCAAAGAGAAUGACCGUAGCAGGUUUUUGGGUGCUGUUAAGAAGAAGAAGUCUUCUUGCUCAUGUUUUUGUCCUAUGGUGGGGAUUUCAAUAAUGCUUUCUGCACAUGUCCUGGAGUACCUGCUUGAGCAUUGCAAUCUGAAAAUCGUUCACU